GAUGAACGCUGGCGGCGUGCCUAAUACAUGCAAGUCGAGCGAAUGGAUUAAGAGCUUGCUCUUAUGAAGUUAGCGGCGGACGGGUGAGUAACACGUGGGUAACCUGCCCAUAAGACUGGGAUAACUCCGGGAAACCGGGGCUAAUACCGGAUAAUAUUUUGAACUGCAUGGUUCAAAAUUGAAAGGCGGCUUCGGCUGUCACUUAUGGAUGGACCCGCGUCGCAUUAGCUAGUUGGUGAGGUAACGGCUCACCAAGGCAACGAUGCGUAGCCGACCUGAGAGGGUGAUCGGCCACACUGGGACUGAGACACGGCCCAGACUCCUACGGGAGGCAGCAGUAGGGAAUCUUCCGCAAUGGACGAAAGUCUGACGGAGCAACGCCGCGUGAGUGAUGAAGGCUUUCGGGUCGUAAAACUCUGUUGUUAGGGAAGAACAAGUGCUAGUUGAAUAAGCUGGCACCUUGACGGUACCUAACCAGAAAGCCACGGCUAACUACGUGCCAGCCGCCGCAGUAA
rnacentral:rRNA from 1 species